rnacentral:rRNA from 1 species
UACGGGGGGGGCAAGCGUUGUUCGGAAUUACUGGGCGUAAAGGGCUCGUAGGUGGCCAACUAAGUCAGACGUGAAAUCCCUCGGCUUAACCGGGGAACUGCGUCUGAUACUGGAUGGCUUGAGUUCGGGAGAGGGAUGCGGAAUUCCAGGUGUAGCGGUGAAAUGCGUAGAUAUCUGGAGGAACACCGGUGGCGAAGGCGGCAUCCUGGACCAUUACUGACGCUGAGGCGCGAAAGCUAGGGGAGCAAACGGG